rnacentral:rRNA from 1 species
AGGACGAACGCUGGCGGCGUGCCUAACACAUGCAAGUCGAGCGGAGAUACAUUGAAGAGCAAUCAGAUAUGUAUCUUAGCGGCGGACGGGUGAGUAACGCGUGGGCAACCUGCCUCAUACUGGGGGAUAACACAGGGAAACUUGUGCUAAUACCGCAUAAUAUCAUUAUAGGGCAUCCUGUGAUGAUCAAAGGAGCAAUCCGGUGUGAGAUGGGCCCGCGUCCAAUUAGCUAGUUGGUGAGGUAACGGCCCACCAAGGCGACGAUUGGUAGCCGAACUGAGAGGUUGAUCGGCCACAUUGGGACUGAGACACGGCCCAGACUCCUACGGGAGGCAGCAGUGGGGAAUAUUGCGCAAUGGGGGAAACCCUGACGCAGCAACGCCGCGUGAAGGAUGAAGGUCUUCGGAUUGUAAACUUCUUUGAUGAGGGACGAACACAAUGACGGUACCUCAAAAACAAGCCACGGCUAACUACGUG